UAGUCUGCAACCCGACUACAUGAAGCUGGAAUCGCUAGUAAUCGCGGAUCAGAAUGCCGCGGUGAAUACGUUCCCGGGCCUUGUACACACCGCCCGUCACACCAUGAGAGUUGGGAAUACCCGAAGCCUGUGAGCUAACAUUUAUGAGGCAGCAGUCGAAGGUAGAAUCAAUGAUUGGGGUGAAGUCGUAACAAGGUACC
rnacentral:rRNA from 1 species